rnacentral:rRNA from 1 species
CCUAACACAUGCAAGUCGAACGGUAACAGGAAACAGCUUGCUGUUUCGCUGACGAGUGGCGGACGGGUGAGUAAUGUCUGGGAAACUGCCUGAUGGAGGGGGAUAACUACUGGAAACGGUAGCUAAUACCGCAUAACGUCGCAAGACCAAAGAGGGGGACCUUCGGGCCUCUUGCCAUCAGAUGUGCCCAGAUGGGAUUAGCUAGUAGGUGGGGUAACGGCUCACCUAGGCGACGAUCCCUAGCUGGUCUGAGAGGAUGACCAGCCACACUGGAACUGAGACACGGUCCAGACUCCUACGGGAGGCAGCAGUGGGGAAUAUUGCACAAUGGGCGCAAGCCUGAUGCAGCCAUGCCGCGUGUAUGAAGAAGGCCUUCGAGUUGUAAAGUACUUUCAGCGGGGAGGAAGGGAGUAAAGUUAAUACCUUUGCUCAUUGACGUUACCCGCAGAAGAAGCACCGGCUAACUCCGUGCCAGCAGCCGCGGUAAUACGGAGGGUGCAAGCGUUAAUCGGAAUUACUGGGCGUAAAGCGCACGCAGGCGGUUUGUUAAGUCAGAUGUGAAAUCCCCGGGCUCAACCUGGGAACUGCAUCUGAUACUGGCAAGCUUGAGUCUCGUAGAGGGGGGUAGAAUUCCAGGUGUAGCGGUGAAAUGCGUAGAGAUCUGGAGGAAUACCGGUGGCGAAGGCGGCCCCCUGGACGAAGACUGACGCUCAGGUGCGAAAGCGUGGGGAGCAAACAGGAUUAGAUACCCUGCUAGUCCAC